AUUUAAACGCAAUUUUAGCUUCCACCUUUUUCCUAAAUACACCAGCCUACGGCAUGACAUGAAAGACGAACUUCGUUUUUGUGUUAUGGUGGGUGAACGACACGUUUCUCGCUCGUUGUAAUCGCUUUUAAAAAAACACCUGAAGAUGAAUGCUUCAGUUGCUGUAGGUGCAUUGGAUACAGCUCACACGAGGAUAGUGGAACUGGAGGUGCUGGUGUUGUCACAACUUCAAUGAAGGACUCGUCUCACCAAAUCCUCUCCUCUACACGGAAAUGUCUGACUUGGUGUCAGUGACUGUCACACCAGGGAAGGCCAGUGACCACAAGCUGACCUUGCACCUGGGUGAAAUUCCGGUGACUCAUUUUUAGUUGAGGUUUCCUCCCAACGAACUUGAUGUGAGGUGCCUUGUGAUGCUGGUGAUGUCUGGCCAUUUCACCUCCAUUAGUACAAAGUGGGGAACCUGCAAAGAUCAACCACCUGACAAUCUAGGCUUGCACCCAGAUGUAUCAUAACGAUGCUGCAGUGGGAGACCUUGACCUACCAGAAAUCCACGUAGUGGUGGAGCACUUCUGGCUCCAG